rnacentral:lncRNA from 1 species
CUAUCGACUACAGGUACAUAAUAGCAGUCUUUAAGAAUUAAACUAACUCCUAAUGAUAAUCGCAAAAGAUAGGUCUCGAUGGUCAUAACAGUAAUCUUUGCUCCAUUGUCGAUCUGAAAAGUGAUCUCACCUUUCCUCAGCCUUCUCACUUCUUCAAGACUCUGCAUAGAAGUACACAAAUAAGCACUUGAUCCAUAAUCUAGAAUCCAACUAGAAAAAAAAUCGUUAGAUUAGUUUCAAUAAUGAGCAUAUCAAAUGUACCUUCAGAAGGCCCAUCUUUCUUUCUGCUCUUGACAGUCGUUAGGU